GGAGUGUGAAAGACUUCAAAAUUGAGAGAAUUCAUUCUUGUUGGUGAGAAGGCCUUGAGGAACUCAACCUACAAAUUAUCUCAUUGUUGCAAGAAUAAGAGAGAAAUCACUCAUUACUAAAAAUGCCUCAUUAUGCUAUUCAGGCACACUGAAAACUUUUCUGAGAAUAUACCUUCUGUGGAGAAAUGGAGCCAGAGGCCCUGAUCCUGUAGGAAUGCUUUGGUCCCCCCAUCUCUCAGAGCUGCCAGACGUGUGCAGUGUGGGAAGUACGUGUGUGGCUCCUGGGGAUUUCAGUGAGCAUGUUCCAUAAAGAAGUGUGAAAUUACCAAAGUGAUUGAGAGAAGCUAGCAGCAGUAGUCCAGAGCUCAGAGAGAUUUGCAGGCAGUUUCCAUCGUGCUGCGGUCUUACAAGUCAAACGCAAUCUGUGGGCACAGGUAGGAUUUGAUUUUUGGUUUUGAAAAGCUGGACAUACAGGAAUGGCAGUCAACUGAUUCUUUCC